CAGUCGCCACGGGAAUACGGAGGGUGCAAGCGUUAAUCGGAAUUACUGGGCGUAAAGCGCACGCAGGCGGUCUGACAAGUCAGAUGUGAAAUCCCCGGGCUUAACCUGGGAACUGCAUUUGAAACUGUCAGGCUGGAGUCUUGUAGAGGGGGGUAGAAUUCCAGGUGUAGCGGUGAAAUGCGUAGAGAUCUGGAGGAAUACCGGUGGCGAAGGCGGCCCCCUGGACAAAGACUGACGCUCAGGUGCGAAAGCGUGGGGAGCAAACAGGAUUAGAUACCCGUGUAGUCCCUGUCUCUUAUAC
rnacentral:rRNA from 1 species